GAUGAACGCUGGCGGCGUGCCUAAUACAUGCAAGUCGAGCGAACGGACGAGAAGCUUGCUUCUCUGAUGUUAGCGGCGGACGGGUGAGUAACACGUGGAUAACCUACCUAUAAGACUGGGAUAACUUCGGGAAACCGGAGCUAAUACCGGAUAAUAUCUUGAACCGCAUGGUUCAAUAGUGAAAGACGGUCUUGCUGUCACUUAUAGAUGGAUCCGCGCUGCAUUAGCUAGUUGGUAAGGUAACGGCUUACCAAGGCAACGAUGCAUAGCCGACCUGAGAGGGUGAUCGGCGACACUGGAACUGAGACACGGUCCAGACUACUACGGGAGGCAGCAGUAGGGAAUCUUCCGCAAUGGGCGAAAGCCUGACGGAGCAACGCCGCGUGAGUGAUGAAGGUCUUCGGAUCGUAAAACUCUGUUAUUAGGGAAGAACAUAUGUGUAAGUAACUGUGCACGUCUUGACGGUACCUAGUCAGAAAGCCACGGCUAACUACGUG
rnacentral:rRNA from 1 species